rnacentral:rRNA from 1 species
UUAGGAAUCUUCCGCAAUGGGCGAAAGCCUGACGGAGCGAUACCGCUUGAAGGACGAAGCCCUUCGGGGUGUAAACUUCUGAACUCGGGACGAUAAUGACGGUACCGAGGUAAUAGCACCGGCUAACUCCGUGCCAGCAGCCGCGGUAAUACGGAGGGUGCGAGCGUUACCCGGAUUUACUGGGUGUAAAGGGCGUGUAGGCGGUCUCUCAAGUCCGAUGCUAAAGACCGAAGCUCAACUUCGGGGGUGCGUUGGAUACUGUGAGGCUAGACGGUCGGAGAGGGUAGCGGAAUUUCCGGAGUAGCGGUGAAAUGCGCAGAUACCGGAAGGAACGCCGAUAGCGAAAGCAGCUACCUGGACGAUUUGUGACGCUGAGGCGCGAAAGCGUGGGGAGCAAACCG